rnacentral:lncRNA from 1 species
GCAGAGCUUUGCGGUGCUUCGGGGGGCCGUCCUGGGGCUCCAAGACAGGGGGGAGCCCAGGCCCAGGGAUCCGGACAGGUCCGACGGGGAGGAUGAACCAGAAGAGGAGGAGCCUCCCUCAGACCGGCCAGAUGGAAGCUGCCCCGGGACCCCGGAGUCGUCGCCCCGGGGAAGCAGGAGCAGCGGCGGCAUCUGCACCUCAUGGUGGGGCUGCUGAGGUCCCAGGACAACAUCCAGCUGGCUCUGCCCUCAUCCUCUUGCCUCCUCUCUCCACGCUCUCUCCCUUGGGCAAGCCCAUCUCCUUGCAGGGCUUCCAGGUCCUCCGGGAGGCGGAGCCCGGCCUCCCUCUGGCGCCCAGCUCUGCCGGAGCCCGCCACCUCCUCAAAUGCAGCAUGCACUGAGCUCAGCAUCUCCCACCGACCUCCGCUCCUUCCGAUCCGCGAUCUCCACACUGACUCUCCCUGCCCCUGCAGCCCGAGCCUCGGGCGGCUCAUCUUUCCCUGCCCAUGGCCCCGACGGGCCCUCACCGAGGCCAUGGCCCUGGGUCUCCCCGCCCUUCCCUCAACUAAAGGCCGCCCCCGAGAGCUCUCCCCGGCUUGGCUCCAGCCGGGCCCUCCUCCCCGUUACAGGCCUCCCGGCCGCCCUUCCAGACUUCUCCCUUUUGCAGGAGCCUCUGCUCUGAGAAGCUGGGCUCAAAUUCUGUCUCUUGAUGUUUCCACCUGUGUGAUCUAGAACAAACUAGACUCCUCCUAGCUCUGAAUCCGUGCUCCUACCGCUCCCAAAGUCCCUCCGUAUCCCAAAGUCCCUCUGCAGUAGAGGAAGGCUCAGACUCGGAGGUCUGGGAGAGCUCUUCCUGCCCUGAAGCGGUGUCCCUGGUGCUUUGAUUGGCCCACAAGCCUAGUCCGCGCACUGGGAAGCUCUCCCCACUUUUAGAAUGCUCCCCAACUCUGAAGGCUUCAAACGUCCCCUCCUCCAGGGAGCCUCCGAUUGUCUCACAAAGUGUACCUUCUCCCUCUCCUCCUCCCAGAAGCUCUUUCCACGUCUAAUCCCCUUGUUAUCUGGGACUCUGGAGCAGGAAGAAUGGCCCAGGGUGCACCACUCCCCUCACUCACCCCUCCCACCGUGUCCUCAGAAGGGGUCAGGAAAUGCACCCUCUCCUGAACUGGGAGAGGGGGAUGAUGGGAAAAUCAUCCUGGUACACAGGUGUGUCUGAGAGGCAGCUCAUUGCAUGGAGCUGGAGGCCAUUGUCUGACACUCGCUGACUGUGUGAUCCUGGACAAAUUGUUUUACUCCAAGGCUCAGUGCCCCGUGUCCUGAUAAAGGAGGCUGCCUCCGUCUGGGUUCAGUCAGUGAGCUCACAGGCCCGGCCCCUAGACCACCUCCCCCCAUCCCGGCCACAAGAUAACCUCUGACUUACGCCCCCCCAGGCUGUCCAGUUGGAGCCCACGCGGCCUCAGUGGCUCAGGUACCUGCUCGUGGUGUCCACGUCGGAGCUGCCGAGCCAGGGUGAGACUGUCCUCCUGGGGGUGGACUUCUCCCAGAGCAGGUAGGGGUGCUGCCGGAAGUGGGGAGCCGGGGGAGCCCGGGAGGGCCCGGAGAACUCAGCUG